GACGCUGGCGGCAUGCCUUACACAUGCAAGUCGAACGGCAGCACGGACUUCGGUCUGGUGGCGAGUGGCGAACGGGUGAGUAAUACAUCGGAACGUGCCCUGUCGUGGGGGAUAACUAGUCGAAAGAUUAGCUAAUACCGCAUACGACCUGAGGGUGAAAGCGGGGGACCGUAAGGCCUCGCGCGAUNAGGAGCGGCCGAUGUCUGAUUAGCUAGUUGGUGGGGUAAAGGCCCACCAAGGCGACGAUCAGUAGCUGGUCUGAGAGGACGAUCAGCCACACUGGGACUGAGACACGGCCCAGACUCCUACGGGAGGCAGCAGUGGGGAAUUUUGGACAAUGGGGGCAACCCUGAUCCAGCAAUGCCGUGUGUGUGAAGAAGGCCUUCGGGUUGUAAAGCACUUUUGUCCGGAAAGAAAUCCCCUGCUCUAAUACAGCGGGGGGAUGACGGUACCGGAAGAAUAAGCACCGGCUAACUACGUGCCAGCAGCCGCGGUAAUACUGUAGGGUGC
rnacentral:rRNA from 1 species